UCAAGUUAUAAUAAGAGAAUAUGGAAGAAAAUUUAAGAUUUAUAUUCAAUACACUCUUGAUGAGGUUUCAAAAAUGUUAAAAAAAAACCUCCAUUUUUACAAAUAUACACUCGAGAAAAAGAUGUACAAAUCAUUCACCUGCCGACCUGGAUUCAGGACUUAAUUUGCUAAAAACUUUUGCAUACUCAAGAUAUUGAAGAUUGGUUUGGAAACCCUACAGAAGGAAUAAACAACAAAACAGAAUUUUUUAUUGGCCAGUGACUAAGUAAAUGAAAUGUCAUACUCAUUAUAAAUGUGAAAUCAAUGACUUUUGUUGACAAUUUGAAAAAAAAUACAAUAUACUAACAUAUGGUAUUGAUAUCCUUGCAAUAUUGAAAAAGUGUGAUUGCAAUUACUGACAAAAGUGAUCUAUUGAAGAUCUUGAAAAGUGUAAAAACUACAAUGUAGGUGACAACAUAACUAAGUAAUAAUCUUUGGAAGUGUGAUUACUUAUUACAUCAGUGAUAAUCUUGGAAGACUCUUUAUGAUGUUUUUAUGACUUAUUGUACAUGAACUCAUUCUUCAU